UUGGAGGGCAAGUCUGGUGCCAGCAGCCGCGGUAAUUCCAGCUCCAAUAGCGUAUAUUAAAGUUGUUGCAGUUAAAAAGCUCGUAGUUGAAUUUCGGGAUCAAAUAAUCGGUCGUGCCUCCGGUACGUACUGGUUUUAUUGGUUCCUCCCUUCUGACGAACCAUGAUGUCAUUAAUUUGAUGUGGUGGAGAAUCAGGACUGUUACCUUGAAAAAUUAGAGUGUUUAAAGCAGGCUAACGCUUGAAUACAUUAGCAUGGAAUAAUGAAAUAGGACGUUCGACCCUAUUUUGUUGGUUUCUAGGAUCGACGUAAUGAUUAAUAGGGAUAGUUGGGGGCAUUAGUAUUCAAUUGUCAGAGGUGAAAUUCUUGGAUUUAUUGAAGACUAACUACUGCGAAAGCAUUUGCCAAGGAUGUUUUCAUUAAUCAAGAACGAAAGUUAGGGGAUCGAAGACGAUCAGAUACCGUCGUAGUCUUAACCAUAAACUAUGCCGACUAGGGAUCGGAUGAUGUUAAUUUUUUAAUGACUCAUUCGGCGCCUUACGGGAAAC
rnacentral:rRNA from 1 species